rnacentral:rRNA from 1 species
GACGAACGCUGGCGGCGUGCCUAAUACAUGCAAGUAGAACGCACAGUUUAUACCGUAGCUUGCUACACCAUAGACUGUGAGUUGCGAACGGGUGAGUAACGCGUAGGUAACCUGCCUGGUAGCGGGGGAUAACUAUUGGAAACGAUAGCUAAUACCGCAUAAUAUUAAUUAUUGCAUGAUAAUUAAUUGAAAGGUGCAAUUGCACCACUACCAGAUGGACCUGCGUUGUAUUAGCUAGUAGGUGAGGUAACGGCUCACCUAGGCGACGAUACAUAGCCGACCUGAGAGGGUGAUCGACCACACUGGGACUGAGGCACGGCCCAGACUCCUACGGGAGGCAGCAGUAGGGAAUCUUCGGCAAUGGACGAAAGUCUGACCGAGCAACGCCGCGUGAGUGAAGAAGGUUUUCGGAUCGUAAAGCUCUGUUGUAAGAGAAGAACGGGUGUGAGAGUGGAAAGUUCACACUGUGACGGUAUCUUACCAGAAAGGGACGGCUAACUACGUG